UGGACUUGACCAAUCAAGUAGGUGAGGAUUUUUGGUUCUUCACCUGUGAAGAUCAUGACUGAAGCUUUGGGGCAAACAGAGAGGAAAGCCCCGUUAAUCGGUCAAGGGUGUCUGCUGCUGUCGCUGAAUUCAGAGGUCCAGAUAUUUUCAGCGUGGUUCGCCUAGCUCGAUUGAACAUAGAAUGUCCUGAUUGGAGCCGACUUUACUGGGUUGUCACCUGGAAAGCAUGGUUUGUGUAUCAAUGAAUAUGGUGAUCUGACUAAAGGUGCAGCUAGCAGGGGAAAAGUGUAUUAUCCAACAACUGAAGGAACUGCCAAAGAAGUUUCCUUCGUUAUGUUUGUACAACUUUUGUCACAGUGUACUGUUUAUAUUAAAAUCAUAAUAUGUAUAAACUUCAAUUGUUUAAGUUUGGGUUAUUUGGGGUGAGCUACCUUAUUGUUGGUCUACUGGGCGUUCAACUAGACCCUUCUUGAGAAUACAAUUAUAAUAAGAUCUAUGAAAUUGCCUAGGGUUCUUAGAAAUCUGAAGUUGGAGAAUGUAUUUUGGAGAUGAAGUGUUGACCAAUUGGAGUAUCAUAUUAGCGGUGACUGCUUGUACUAAACGAUGUUGCUUUCUUAAAUCAUCUGAGUCUUUUGUUAAAAUCAAC